GAAUACUUGAGUGUGUCUAACUUGACCUGGUGCACGCGUGUGAAUGGUCUGGUAGCUAUUAGCAUCGGAUUUGCUGCAAAGUUAAGAGUGUUGAAUUUCCGUUCCAGCAGAACGAUUGGCAAUGAUUGUAUCAUGACAAUAGCGAAGGGUUGUCCAUCGCUUCAGGAAUGGAACUUAGCAAUAUGUCAUGAGGUCAAGAUAGCAGGUUGGGAAUCUAUUGCAUCACAUUGUCAUAACUUGAAAACGCUACAUGUGAAUCGGUGUAGAAAUCUUUGUGAUCGUGGACUGCAGGCAUUGAGGACCGGAUGCAAACGUCUCUCAAUUCUUUACAUCACCAGAAGCUCUCAGAUCAGUGGUGUAGCGUUGGAAAUUUUUAAACUUGCUAGAAGUAAUGUAGAGGUCAAAGAAGAAGAAGUAAUGUGCAUUUGCCCUCACGGAGCCUUCAGGUUUUAAUAGGUGACUAUAAUCUUUAGGUCUUAAGCUGUCAGGUCUCAGCAGACAUUCUGAUUUUACAGACUCAGAAGGAGAAAAUGUCAUCCCAGUCAAUCCGAUUCGGAUUCCCUGGAACUGACGUGUUACUCACCCGUCCACCACUGGAAACAUCGUUUCCUGUCCAACUUGAUGGAAAUGCACGACAGUUGUGCCCACU
rnacentral:misc_RNA from 1 species